CAAUGGCUGAACGCAGGGUACUUCCAUCGGAAAUCCACACGGCCAGACACCAGCAAAGCAGAGUCUUCCUUUAAGGCAACUGGCGCACUGUUUUCUAUGGUAUAUCAGUACUAAAAGUAAGUAUAAAG